GAACGAGGGAGUACUCCGAAAGGGGUACAAAUCGAGUGGCGUAAGGGUGAGUAAUGCAUUGAUAACCUACCUUUGAGAUGGGAACAACAGCGUUCCAAGCAAUUGGAGCUACCGAAAGGGCUGCUAAUACCCAAUAAAACUAUUAUUGCUUUGGUGAUGAUAGUCAAACGUGCGGAAUCGAAAGGUUCCGUUUGCUCAAAGAGGGGUCAAUGUCCUAUCAGCUUGUUGGUGGGGUAAUGGCCUACCAAGGCGAAGACGGGUAGCCGGCCUGAGAGGGUGGUCGGCCACACUGGGACUGAGACACUGCCCAGACUCCUACGGGAGGCUGCAGUCGAGAAUCUUUCGCAAUGCCCGCAAGGGUGACGAAGCGACGCCGCGUGCGGGAAGAAGGCCUUCGGGUUGUAAACCGCUGUCGGGAGUUAGGAAGUGCAAGGAUGUUAAUAGCGUUCUUGCUUGACUAAGGCUCCGGAGGAAGCCACGGCUAACUCUGUG
rnacentral:rRNA from 1 species